AAUGAACGCUGGCGGCGUGCCUAAUACAUGCAAGUCGAACGGAGUGGCGCACGGGUGAGUAAUAUAUAGCUGAUCUGCCCCUUGCUGGGGGACAACCGUUGGAAAUGAGUGCUAAUACCCCAUAGCAAGGGAUGAGCCUAUAUCGUAUCAGCUAGUCGGUGGGGUAACGGCCUACCGAGGCAAUGACGCGUAACUGGUCUGAGAGGAUGAUCAGUCACAUUCGAAGAGAGAGACCGGCCAAACACCUGCGGCAGGCGGCAGGAGUGUAUAUUGCUCAACGGGGGCAACCCUGACGGAGCAACGCUGCGUGGAGGAGGACUCUUGUCGGGGAGCAACUUCCUUUUGUUAGGGAGGCGGUACCUGAAGAAGAAGCACCGGCUAACUCCGUGCCAGCAGCCGCGGUAAUAC
rnacentral:rRNA from 1 species